CUUAUUGGCUGGAAAGGAAGAAGCAUUCUUUCAUUGGUUGGUGUGUAUUGCCUUGUCAACCAAUAAGAGGAUGCCAUUUAUCCUUUUCUGACUAGCUGAGUGAGCAGGGUG
rnacentral:pre_miRNA from 5 species